GCAACAGCUAUCCUCAUCUUCGCUAGAGUACCCCCAUAUUCUUGCGUCUAGGACCCUGGGUGCGAGCUUAGGGGUUCAGAGCCUAGAACAUCCCCACCCCAAGCCAGCUCACACUGGAGCUCCCCGUGCGUUUGCAGAUGGAGCCAAUAGCUACACCUGUGUCCGGCUAGUGGUUUGGUCUGAGUCGGGACACAGACGCCAUUGCUGGAGGCGGCGCGUAAAGGGAACGCAGACGCCCGGUGGCUGGGUACGCGUCUUCAUUGUCCCCCACGCCCCCCUUUCUUUCUUUCGUUUGGUUCGAAUGAGUCUUAUUCCUAACCGUGUUGGUCCGGAACUUAGUAAUGGAACCCGGGCUGUCCUCGAACUCUCGGCAAUCCUCCUGCCUCAACCAAGCGCUGAGAUUAAGGCUUGAGCCACUACGCUCAUUAACGCAUCGAGUUUGAAAUGGAAAA
rnacentral:lncRNA from 1 species